AUUACCUGGUUUUCGGAUGGCCGCUCGGAGCGACACCGCGCCGGGUCCGAGGCUGGAAGCCAGGAGCAGGAGCCGGAGCAAGACGCCUCGGAUUAAAUCCAUUUCGCAGCCGGCGCCUGCAAAGUUUCACCAAGUCCCGGGCGCACACGGAAAGGGCGUCUCCGGGGCCUAUUUCCAAGAAAAGUAUAAAUGGGAGAUAACAGUUUUGCCUUUCUGAGGGGAUAUUUGCAUUUUCACAGGAAAUCAAAGCAAGGAAAAAAGUAGAUAGCCUAAGAUGCAAAUGAAUGGCUC
rnacentral:lncRNA from 1 species